UACGGAGGGUGCAAGCGUUAAUCGGAAUUACUGGGCGUAAAGCGCACGCAGGCGGUCAAUUAGGUCAGAUGUGAAAUCCCCGGGCUUAACCUGGGAAUUGCAUCUGAAACUGGUUGGCUAGAGUCAUGUAGAGGGGGGUAGAAUUCCAUGUGUAGCGGUGAAAUGCGUAGAGAUGUGGAGGAAUACCGGAGGCGAAGGCGGCCCCUUGGGCAAAGACUGACGCUCAGGUGCGAAAGCGUGGGGAGCAAACAGG
rnacentral:rRNA from 1 species